rnacentral:rRNA from 1 species
UACGUAGGGUGCAAGCGUUAAUCGGAAUUACUGGGCGUAAAGCGUGCGCAGGCGGUUUUGUAAGUCUGUCGUGAAAUCCCCGGGCUCAACCUGGGAAUUGCGAUGGAGACUGCAAGUCUAGAAUCUGGCAGAGGGGGGUAGAAUUCCACGUGUAGCAGUGAAAUGCGUAGAUAUGCGGAGGAACACCGAUGGCGAAGGCAAUCCCCUGGGCCUGCACUGACACUCAUGCACGAAAGCGUGGGGAGCAAACAGG